CCAGGGGGCCGGGCAGCUGCGGGGGGACUUUGUCUCCGCGAGGAAAGUCCGGGCUCCGCGAAACGAUGGUGGCGGGUAACGCCCGCCGCGGGUGACCGUAGGGAAAGUGCCACAGAGAGCAAACCGCCCCGAGGCCUCGGCCAAGGGGUAAGGGUGAAAGGGUGCGGUAAGAGCGCACCGCGCGAUUGGUAACAAUGGCGGCAUGGUAAACCCCACCUGGAGCAAGGCCAAAUAGGGGCGGCGCGCUGCUAGUCAGCAGGUCUGUUUCGGACCGUGAUCGCCCGGGUUGGCUGCUUGAGCGGCGGAGCAAUCCGCCGCCUAGAGGAAUGGCUGCCCCUGCAGCGCUGGUGCGUAAGCAAACCUGCUGCAGGACAGAACCCGGCUUACAGGCCCCCUGGCAAA
rnacentral:RNase_P_RNA from 1 species